GGGCCUCGGCCUGGUGGCGAGUGGCGAACGGGUGAGUAAUGCGUCGGAACGUGCCGAGUAAUGGGGGAUAACGCGUCGAAAGGUGUGCUAAUACCGCAUACGCUCUGAGGAGGAAAGCGGGGGACCUUCGGGCCUCGCGUUAUUCGAGCGGCCGACGUCUGAUUAGCUAGUUGGUGGGGUAAAGGCUCACCAAGGCGACGAUCAGUAGCGGGUCUGAGAGGAUGAUCCGCCACACCGGGACUGAGACACGGCCCAGACUCCUACGGGAGGCAGCAGUGGGGAAUUUUGGACAAUGGGCGAAAGCCUGAUCCAGCCAUGCCGCGUGAGUGAAGAAGGCCUUCGGGUUGUAAAGCUCUUUUGUCCGGGAGGAAAUCCCGCAACCCAAUACGUUGCGGGGAUGACAGUACUGGAAGAAUAAGCACCGGCUAACUACGUGCCAGCAGCCGCGGUAAUACGUAGGGUGCAAGCGUUAAUCGGAAUUACUGGGCGUAAAGCGUGCGCAGGCGGUUUGAUAAGUCAGAUGUGAAAUCCCCGGGCUUAACCUGGGAACUGCGUUUGAAACUGUCAGGCUAGAGUACGUCAGAGGGGGGUGGAAUUCCACGUGUAGCAGUGAAAUGCGUAGAGAUGUGGAGGAACACCGAUGGCGA
rnacentral:rRNA from 1 species